CCCCAACAAACCCCUCCCCCACCCCAAGGCUGCUGCCGUGGUCACGUGACCGUCUGUCCCCACAGCCACACACCCCAUAUAACCCCAUGGCGCCGAUGGCCCCAUAGCCCACAUCCCAUAUGGCCCUAUAUGGCCCCAUAUCCCACAUCCCAUACCCCAUAUCCCAUAUGGCCCCAUAGCCCACAUCCCAUAUAGCCCCACACCCCAUAUUGCCCCAUACCCACAUCCCAUACCCCCAUAUGGCCCUAUAUGGCCCCAUAUCCCAUAUUCCAUACCCCAUAGCCCACAUGGUCCCAUAGCCCACAUCCCCAUAUGGCCCUAUAUGGCCCCAUAUCCCAUACCCCAUAGCCCAUAUAGCUCCAUAGCCCACAUCCCAUACCCCCAUAUGGCCCCAUAUCCCCUAUGGCCCCAUAACCCACAUCACAUAUGACCCCAUAGCCCAUAUCCCCUAUGGCCCCAUAGCCCACAUCCCCAUAUGGCCCUAUAUGGCCCCACAUCCCAUAUGGCCCCAUAUCCCAUAUGGCCCCAUAGCCCAUAUGGCUCCAUAGCCCACAUCCCAUAUGGCUCCACAUCCCAUAUGGCCCCAUAGCCCACAUGGCCCCAUAGCCCACAUCCCAUAUG
rnacentral:lncRNA from 7 species